rnacentral:misc_RNA from 1 species
UACGUAGGGGGCAAGCGUUGUCCGGAAUUAUUGGGCGUAAAGCGCGCGCAGGCGGUCACUUAAGUCUUGUGUAUAAUCCCGGAGCUCAACUUCGGUUCGCAUGGGAAACUGGGUGACUUGAGUGCAGAAGAGGAGAGUGGAAUUCCACGUGUAGCGGUGAAAUGCGUAGAGAUGUGGAGGAACACCAGUGGCGAAGGCGGCUCUCUGGCCUGUAACUGACGCUGAGGCGCGAAAGCGUGGGGAGCAAACAGG